rnacentral:lncRNA from 1 species
GUAUGAAAAACCUUACAUCUUGAUUUAUUUAAAACUUGUUUAAGGUUAUUAAGCAGAUAGAGGCUAAUUUUGUUGUCUUUCUGCAGGUGCAUGAAGUGCUGCACCUAAUGGGAUGCUUGGUUCCUUUGUGCUAUUUGUGCUUCGAGUCAAUUUGGAGUUUGUAAGAAAAGCGUGAGCUUUGAAAAAGAAAAAAGGGCUCCUGUUUGCUAAUAGCACUUCUAAAUUCUAGCUUGGCAUUCUAUUGCAACAAUUUAAUUUGCAAGAUUGCAGCUUAGCUGUUGGAUCUUUGAACAAAAUCUGGGUCAUUGACAUGGUGAUACAAACAGUCCAUGGUGCACUCUUCAUCAUUCUACAUGCUACUUUUGAAAUCCCUCUAUCUAUUUUCUUCAUUCUGUGUGAAUUGAGUUAAUACUGGUGUGAGAUCACUAUAAGGACUAGACUUUUGGUGGUUCGAUUGGGGAUCGAUGUUACGAUAGAACAUCACAGAAUAGUUGUAUUUUGUUCUUGAGAUGAUUUGGUUGUAUAUUGGUUUGAACUCUUGUGUAUUUCUUUGUUUCUUUAAGUAUUUACUGCAAAUGGCGCUAAAAUCCACUUCCUGAAGUUCCAAUGGGGAAAUCUACACAGGUUGGACGAACAUUUUUGGAUUUGAUUUCAUUUCCUGCGUUUAGUGCUCUAUACAAGUUAUUGUUUUGAUAUUGAGAUUAGUUUUCAUUGAUAAAUCUGUUCAACAAUUAUGUUGAAAGGGAGAGUUGGACAUAUAUAUUACAUUGGAAAAAGAAAAAACCAAUGAAAGAUCAAAAUAGGGGAAAUUGGCAUUGAACUAUAUUUAAGCCCUCGCGCACACAGGGAGAUGUGCAUGGCUGGCUUCUACUUGAACCAUGUGUCCGCAUGGUAAAAUAAAUCAGCCUUUAGGCUGAUUUUUAUUUUGAUUUCUUGGUGGCUUUUAAUGAAAAAUCGUCAUUGAUUUGCAGGGUAUGGAUAAAAAUCUAUUAAUAUAUAAUAGUUUUUCAUUAUUAAUAUAUGAAAUCAGCAUCAUACCGUCCUUCUUCUUCCUAGGAAGUGCACAAAAAACUAGAUUUCCAUUCUUCUUCCUCCAAUAUAAAUUUCAAAAUAUUUUUAGUGUUCUUGUUCCUUUAAAGAGUUUUUCACUUUAUUACUUUGUGCAAACUUUUAAAAGCUUGUCAUAUCCUCUAAUCUAUUUAUUGAAAUUCCUAAAAGCAAUCUGAGUGGGGAAAAUAUCGUUUUUAAGAAGGUAUAUUGUAUACAUGUUUUAGAACUCAUUUUACCAUUCUUCAUACAGGUUCAAGUUUUUGAUUCUCCAACUUCUCCUUGUUCAGAAAGCAUAUUUUCAACAAUGUAAAAAUGAUAUUUUCUUCUACAUGGAGAUGAAAACAACUUUAGCAGCUAUUGAGUUGAUGAACCAAGACAAUUGGGUUGUUUAGAAAGAUACGAUGGAACAAAUUUUAUCCGAUGGCAAGACAAACUCAAGUUCUUGUUGACAACAUUGAAGAUCUUCUAUGUUUUUAUUGAAAUUUAGCACUGAUUUUUGAAUGACUGGAUGAAAAUUUCAAAGAAUUAAGGGCCGAGAGAAAGAAAAGACAAGAUGAUGAACUGAUUUGUUUUGGUCAUAUUCUAAAUGCACUAUCUGAUCGAUUAUACAAUCUCUACGCCAACACCACUUUGGCUAAAGAAAUUUGGGAAGCAUUUGAGAACAAAUACAAAAUCGAGGAGGAUGUUAUCAAGAAAUUUUUAAUUUCUAAAUACACUGAUUUUAAGAUGUUAGAUAAUAUCCCUUUGUUGCCUUAGCAUAUGAAUUGCAAGUUAUUGUCAAUAAGUUGAUGGAAAUAAAAAUUGUACUUCUUGAAUCUUUUCAAGUCGGAGCAAUCAUUGGAAAAUUGCCUCCACCUUGGAAGGG